rnacentral:pre_miRNA from 1 species
CAAGUACUCCCUCCGUCCGAAAUUACUUGUCAUCAAAAUGGAUGUGUCUAGAAUUAAAAUACAUCUAGAUACAUCCAUUUCAAUGACAAGUAUUUUCGGACGGAGGGAGUACAAG